rnacentral:rRNA from 1 species
UACGGAGGGGGCUAGCGUUGUUCGGAAUUACUGGGCGUAAAGCGCACGUAGGCGGUUAUUCAAGUCAGAGGUGAAAGCCCAGUGCUCAACACUGGAACUGCCUUUGAAACUAGAUAGCUUGAAUCCAGGAGAGGUGAGUGGAAUUCCGAGUGUAGAGGUGAAAUUCGUAGAUAUUCGCAAGAACACCAGUGGCGAAGGCGGCUCACUGGACUGGUAUUGACGCUGAGGUGCGAAAGCGUGGGGAGCAAACAGG